rnacentral:misc_RNA from 1 species
GAUGAAGGAACGUAGCGAAAUGCGAUAACUAAUGUGAAUUGCAGAAUUCCGUGAAUCAUCGAGUCUUUGAACGCACAUUGCGCCCCCUGGUAUUCCGGGGGGCAUGCCUGUCCGAGCGUCAUUGCUGCCCAUCAAGCACGGCUUGUGUGUUGGGUCCCGUCCCCCUCUCCCGGGGGACGGACCCGAAAGGCAGCGGCGGCACCGCGUCCGGUCCUCGAGCGUAUGGGGCUUUGUCACCCGCUCUUGUAGGCCCGGCCGGCGCUUGCCGACACCCAACCAUUUUUUUCAGGUUGACCUCGGAUCAGGUAGGGAUACCCGCUGAACUUAAGCAUAUCAAUAAGCGGAGGA